rnacentral:snoRNA from 1 species
CCCCUUUCAGGGUUGCUCCUGGAGAGUUUCCAAUACUCUACCAGUUUCAACUAUGGGAGGGAGAGUCAAACAGAGGCUUACCCGUUCCAUUCCUAGCUUGGGCAGUGGCUAACGAGUGGAAGGCAAUCUGCUACAAGU